CUGGGUUGAACUAAGCGGUGUCAGGAAGAAGAACAGCAACAGGAAGUUGCAGUUGCAGAGUGGCAAGCUCAGCAAAAAGGAGCUUUGCUCACUGUGGCCAUGGUUCACUGGAGCUGAGGAGAUGACUUAUCUUGAAGAGUAGUCACUACUCUGAUAUUGAACCAGAGCUGCCUUCUUCAACACCAGAAAACUAACUCAGUAAAUGGUAAAGAAACACAGCGUCUUGGAAGAAAUCAGGCAGAAUGAGUGGGAAAAGGAAAGGAAGUGAUGAC